rnacentral:lncRNA from 1 species
CUUGCCACUUCAAUUCCAGCAAAACCAAGGCUGUAAAAAUAACAUUUUUGCUUCACAGGAAGUGACGUUAAUCACAGAAAAGGAUUAAAUAGAUACUUUGUGCCACCUGCCUCACAGCUUUGAAUGGCUUUCUGAAUUAAGAUGUGAGGGUGAUACUUCCAUAUUUUCUUGCUAAAAAGGAUUCUAGACUGAAGUCAUCUUGACAAAAUAACAUCAGAAAGGAUUCUUUGGAGACUUCCAUUCUGACCAAAAGGACAAAAAGACAGGACUUCCAAAAACAUCACAGGAAAGCCUCAGCUCCAUUUUAGCUCGAAGGAGGAUUCAGGCACAGUGAGAACAGAAGGACAGAAGGUGGUUUGCAGUUUCUGGCUAUCUGGAAAGCUGGCAUG